GGUGAAGUCAUUGAUGCCAUGCUUCCAGGAAAAGCCUCUAAGCUUCAGAUUGUAAGGAAUCGUACCCCAAACCGACACAGGUGGUCGGGUAGAGAAUACCAAGGCGCUUGAGAGAACUCGGGUGAAGGAACUAGGCAAAAUGGUACCGUAACUUCGGGAGAAGGUACGCUCUUGAUGGUGAAGUCCCUCGCGGAUGGAGCUGACGAGAGUCGCAGAUACCAGGUGGCUGCAACUGUUUAUUAAAAACACAGCACUGUGCAAAAUCGUAAGAUGACGUAUACGGUGUGACGCCUGCCCGGUGCCGGAAGGUUAAUUGAUGGGGUUAGACUUCGGUCGAAGCUCUUGAUCGAAGCCCCGGUAAACGGCGGCCGUAACUAUAACGGUCCUAAGGUAGCGAAAUUCCUUGUCGGGUAAGUUCCGACCUGCACGAAUGGCGUAAUGAUGGCCACGCUGUCUCCACCCGAGACUCAGUGAAAUUGAAAUCGCUGUGAAGAUGCAGUGUACCCGCGGCUAGACGGAAAGACCCCGUGAACCUUUACUACAGCUUGGCACUGAACAUUGACCCUACAUGUGUAGGAUAGGUGGGAGGCUUUGAAGCACGUACGCCAGUAUGUGUGGAGCCGUCCUUGAAAUACCACCCUUGUAGUGUUGAUGUUCUAACGUCGACCCCUUAUCGGGGUUGCGGACAGUGCCUGGUGGGUAGUUUGACUGGGGCGGUCUCCUCCCAAAGAGUAACGGAGGAGCACGAAGGUGGGCUAAUCACGGUUGGACAUCGUGAGGUUAGUGCAAUGGCAUAAGCCCGCUUGACUGCGAGAAUGACAAUUCGAGCAGGUGCGAAAGCAGGUCAUAGUGAUCCGGUGGUUCUGAAUGGAAGGGCCAUCGCUCAACGGAUAAAAGGUACUCCGGGGAUAACAGGCUGAUACCGCCCAAGAGUUCAUAUCGACGGCGGUGUUUGGCACCUCGAUGUCGGCUCAUCACAUCCUGGGGCUGAAGUCGGUCCCAAGGGUAUGGCUGUUCGCCAUUUAAAGUGGUACGCGAGCUGGGUUUAGAACGUCGUGAGACAGUUCGGUCCCUAUCUGCCGUGGGCGUUGGAAGAUUGAAGGGGGCUGCUCCUAGUACGAGAGGACCGGAGUGGACGAACCUCUGGUGUUCGGGUUGUGUCGCCAGACGCAUUGCCCGGUAGCUAAGUUCGGAAUCGAUAACCGCUGAAAGCAUCUAAGCGGGAAGCGAGCCCUGAGAUGAGUCUUCCCUGAUACUUUAAGUAUCCUAAAGGGUUGUCGGAGACUACGACGUUGAUAGGUCAGGUGUGUAAGUGCUGUGAGGCAUUGAGCUAACUGAUACUAAUUGCCCGUGAGGCUUAACCAUACAACACCCAAGGGGUUU
rnacentral:rRNA from 1 species